UACGUAGGGGGCAAGCGUUAUCCGGAUUUACUGGGUGUAAAGGGAGCGUAGACGGUGAGACAAGUCUGAAGUGAAAGCCCGGGGCUCAACCCCGGGACUGCUUUGGAAACUGCCUGACUGGAGUGCUGGAGAGGCAAGCGGAAUUCCUAGUGUAGCGGUGAAAUGCGUAGAUAUUAGGAAGAACACCAGUGGCGAAGGCGGCUUGCUGGACUGAACCUGACGCUGAGGCGCGAAAGCAUGGGUAGCGAACGGG
rnacentral:rRNA from 1 species